UAGCACACUAAUUCGUUUGGGUGAAGUGUUUUCUUCUUGUAAUGCUCUUAAUCCUCAUGGGUGUUUGGAACAUAGGCGGGAGACUAGAAGUUCUGUGAUUAAACGAACUCGGUCAGACUGUCCUUGCAGAGGAGUUUGUUCUACUAAAUCUGACAUGGUGGGCUGGAUGACUAAAGAGGACAAGUAGCAUUUGCAUAUUUUCAAUCCAGGUGCCUGAUUCAAAUGCUCCACUGAAAGCCAUUGCUCCCGGUGGGUUUUGUAGCAGCCUUCUGGAAAUGGAACUGGGACUUUUGGUGUUAUAGUGUAAUGAUUCUGAAGAUAUUUGGUCAGCCUUCUGAGGUCUGCAGGAGGUAAUCAUUCAAUAACGGUGCUAUCAAUAAUACUUAUGAAAAAUCAAGCCUAAUGGUUGUCGGAUGGUGUUUUAUAACACUAGCAGAUAAAAACAGAAGUGCGUGCUGUGCAGGCUUCUUGAAGAAGGCUUCCAGUAUGGAAGAAGUUGAAAA
rnacentral:lncRNA from 1 species